GAUGAACGCUGGCGGCGUGCCUAAUACAUGCAAGUCGAGCGAACAGACGAGGAGCUUGCUCCUCUGACGUUAGCGGCGGACGGGUGAGUAACACGUGGAUAACCUACCUAUAAGACUGGGAUAACUUCGGGAAACCGGAGCUAAUACCGGAUAAUAUAUUGAACUGCAUGGUUCAAUAGUGAAAGACGGUUUUGCUGUCACUUAUAGAUGGAUCCGCGCCGCAUUAGCUAGUUGGUAAGGUAACGGCUUACCAAGGCAACGAUGCGUAGCCGACCUGAGAGGGUAAUCGGCCACACUGGAACUGAGACACGGUCCAGACUCCUACGGGAGGCAGCAGUAGGGAAUCUUCCGCAAUGGGCGAAAGCCUGACGGAGCAACGCCGCGUGAGUGAUGAAGGUCUUUGGAUCGUAAAACUCUGUUAUUAGGGAAGAACAAAUGUGUAAGUAACUAUGCACGUCUUGACGGUACCUAAUCAGAAAGCCACGGCUAACUACGUG
rnacentral:rRNA from 1 species